CUAUGUCCUUAAGAAAAAAAAAAGUCAGUGCACUGUAAAAAUGUCUCCCUCUAGCACCACCAAACUUUUUCUCUCUAUACCUUUAUGACGUAAAUUUUGCUAUUUGAUUUUCAUCGGAGUGUUUCUUUUAAUAUGCAAAUUUAAGGCUAUUUAGCUGACAACUGCCUAGAGUUGUAAAACAGGCUAUCAAGUAUCUGAAAGUCUAAGAUAGAAGAAAAAAAGUGGGAGGGGUUCUUUAUGAAUCUAUAAAAUGUACUUCCAUUGGCAGGCCUAAUAAAUUUGUGUAUGUAUUUAUGUGUUGUGUACAGAAUGUUUCACUACUAAAAAUAUGUAAAAGAGUUCUAAUUAAUUGGCUUAAAGAAAAAUAAAAUCAGUAAAUUAGAUACUAAAAAAGACUAGUCAAAGGCAUCGUCAAGUUUAUGUAACUUAAGUAAAAUCUUUAAUAAGUAAGCUAGCUUUAAAAUUAUUGCUAAAGUAAUAUUACAAAUGUUUUAAGAAUUUCCAGCAUACAUUUCUGUUUGCAUUUAUUAAUCAAGCAAUUUCAUACUCAUCCCUGCCAAAUACUAUAAAGUCUCAAAAUUUGGCACAGGGGUUAGAAAACUAUGAACCCAGCCCAAAUCAAAAUGAUCUUUGCUUAUGUCAUUUUUAAUAAAUAAAACAUUGAUAUGGCUUUAAUGAAAAUAGCUGCAUCUUGAAUUUAGUAAGAUUACCAUAACUUCUAAUCCAUAACGUCUAAUAGACUGCUUUAGGCAGUCUAGUCCACAGACAAUAAUGAAAUUUGUUUUGGGAAAGGAAUGUUGUCACCUUUUGUUCAAAGCUAAAUAAUAAACUAAGUUCCUCCCAAAGUUAGUUCCGUCUAUGCCCAGGCGUGAACAAGGAUGGCUUGGAGGUUAUGAGCACGAUGGAGCCAGUUAUGUCAAAUCUUUUUUUCAUUGUCUUUGUUAUAAUUUUGCAAUGGUGAUUUCAGAACUUCAAAUUAUAACUAUCACAGUUUUCAUAAAUAAUCUAGGUAAAUAAUUAAAAUAAAAUAAUUAGGCAAAUAUAAUGGGAUAAAUACUUGUAGACAAACUGGUUAUAAUUUAGAAUAUAAAGUUACAUUAAAUUAAAUAAUAAUAUUCCAUUAUUUGGGUGUUUGGGUGUUUUCUAAUAAAUAUAUAUUGUAGGAAAACAUUCUUGCUAAAUAAAAGAAAAUGAAAAUGUAUGUUUUUUUUUCCAAAAAAAAAAAAAAAAAGGUGAACAAAUUUUGUCUGAUUAAAAGCUCAUUUAAGGGUUAUGUAUAAAACAAGGUAAAAGGAACCAGGAAAAAAAAUGCGAAGAAAGUUAUAAAAAUAAAGAGGUAUUUUUUUGAGGUAUAAAAGCUUAAAGAAAAAAUAAUUUUGUAUAAGAAAGAAUCUUGUAUGGUAAAUUUAGUCCUAAAAUAAAAUAAUGGUUGUUUAAAAAGGAUGGAUAUUCAGAACAAAUCAGAAAGCCCCACCGUGUCAUGAACAGUCAGUGUAAGUCACAAUAAGAGGAUUUAUACAUAUGUGAAAAAAACUUUUAUAAUUGUCCUAUUAUUAUUAAGUUUUGUUUUGCUUAGGAAAAAAAACUGAGAUUUUUUUUAAAGUUAAGGUUAUUACAUUUAUGCAUCUUCCUGUAUACGUUUUUAGAGUCUUUGUAACAUUGAGUUCCAGGGCUUUUGAUUCUUGGGUCUAAAAAGGACACCAAGUUCUGCUAAAUCUUAAACACUGAUAGCAAUUAAAUUCUCAUCUUCAGGCCCCCUAGAAGAUGCCAAUCAAAAUAAACUGCAUUCUUGAGACACAGGGCAAGAAAUUAAAGCUAUCCACCUCCUCAAGGCCCAGGGACUACGUGGAAGAGACAUCGAGUCAUGAAUAUGGAAUGACUUCACCUGACUUCACUUGAAAUUCACUUAAUUUUCAACUCUGUUGGCUAUGAGAAAAGGACAUCCAGGCCUCACACAAAAAUGGAUCAAUGAAUUGAAACUCACCAAAUCACCACCACCAGACAACGGGAUGCUGAGUCUCAUUCAUCAUGAUUGCUUCCUGAAGCCUUCUGAGUUCCUGUUUCCCUACACAUUGUUACAUUUCUUCCCUGCAACAUAAACCCCCAAUUUUAGUCCAUCAAGGUUAUAGAUUUGAGACUGAUCUCCCAUUUCCUUGGCUGCAACACCCAAUUAUAGCCUUCUUGGCAAUAAUUGUUGUCUCAGUGAUUGGCUUUCUUUGUGGCCAGCAGCAGGACCUAGACUGAACACCUGAUUUUCUGGUCUCUCAAAACAGAAUUUUGGCUUUUCCAGAUUGGCAAAUAGCUCUUAGUUAAAUGUGGCUUUCAAGUAUGUGUUUACUCCUUUAUGUUUCAAUUUUCCUUCAAUUUUGGCCUGGUAAGUCUUUACCUUCUUUCAAAUACCAUAUAUUUCAAAAAGUAGUAUUUAUUCUAUUAAGCAUGGUGAUUGUACGAAUAACUUAACCUGCUCUUAGUGUGUUUGGGCCACUGCAACACAACAUUAUAAACUGGGCAGCUUACAGAAAACAGAAAUUUAUUCCUCACAGUUAUGGAGGCUGGAAGGUUGAGAUCAAGGUGCUGACAGAUUCAAUGUCUGCUGAGAGCCCGUGUUUCAGUUAAGACAUUGCGCUUUUUAGUCGUGUCCUCACAUAGUGCAAAGGACAAGGUAGCUCUCUGUGGCCUCUUUCAUAAGAACACUAAUCCCAUCUUUAAAGCCUCCGCUCUUAUGAUCUAAUUUCCCCAAGGAUCCCACCCCCAUGCUAUCACAUUGGUGAUUAAGUUUCCAGAUGUGAAUUCUGAGAGGAUACAUUCAGAUCAUAGCACCCACCAUUACUGAAAAUACAAAUUAACUUUUCUUAUCUGUGUAUAAGAAAUCAAGAAACUAUCAAUACAGAUGUGUUUAUGUGUGUGUAUGUAUGCCAGUAUGUAUAUGUAUUUGUAGAUUCAACAUUACAUAGGACACUUCCCUUAAAUCAUUAAAAAUAAAGGAAAUGGUAAUGAUGCUAUCAGUUGUAGUAUGAGUAGCAGUAGUGAAAAAGCAAAGCAGAGAAAUAGUUUGGUGCAUCACUCUUAGCACUUAGUAACUCCAAAAGCUUUAAACACAUAUAGAAGGAGUAAGUUUAUGAAGACAAUUUGAUAGAAAUAAAAUAGCAAGUACUUUUACAUUUUGAUAAAUACUUCAUUGAUGAUAAACACAAUUCAUUUUAUCCUCAGAAGAAUACCGUUAUGUAGGUACUAAAAUUAUCUCCAUUACAUACAUGAGAGAAAUAAAUUUCAAAAAUUAAUGUGAUUUGUUCAAUAUUACACAGCUAAUUAAUGGUGGAGCUGUUUUAAGAAUCCAGAAAAUAAAUUACUAUUGUAUGUGGCUAAUGUAUCUUAUAAAGGCAGAGCAAAUAAUUUUAAUGAAUCUAUAAAAUAUGCAAUUCAAAAUUGCAACUCAAUACUUAAACACUUUUCCAAAAACAAAACAAGUUUGUCCAUGCUGUAUCUUCUGGCCAAAGUUCAAUAAAACUUAAGUUCAUUAUGACCAUAUUCCUAAAAACAAAAUAUAUUAUAUAAAACGUGAAACAAUUUGGGCCAAUGGGAAUAUUAAACUUAGAAUGAGAAAAGCACUUAAAAUAUUAGAA
rnacentral:lncRNA from 10 species